GCGGAAAGGUCACACCCGUUCCCAUCCCGAACACGGAAGUUAAGCUUUCCAGCGCC
rnacentral:rRNA from 1 species